CCGAGCCGCGGGGCGGGCGCCACGUCUCUCCGCAGGGGCCGAACCCUGAGUCCGGGGCCGCCGGGGUCCUGCCCCUGCUCGCGGGGGCUGCACGGGGACGGGGCGCGCGGGGAGCAGAGCUCCUGCGGCUUGCAGGCUGCACCGGCCAAGGCCCGCCGGGGCGCGGGGGCGCUGCAGUUGAUGUGUGGGGAAGCGAAUCUGUUGAAGACGGCUGGUUCGCCUGAGUCAAGGGCCUAAGUAGGAAACGAAUUCAUGAACCAAAGUUGGCCUGAAACAGAGGAGCUUGUACUUCGAACCUCCGAUUUUACCUGGAAAGACAACUUUGAUCGAGCACAGAUUUCACGAAAUUUCCUGAAUACAGCGGAGUCUAUUUACCAACAAACCAUAAGCGCAGAUUCGAGUAAGUGGCCCCUCUGGCUGCUGUUCCCCACGUGAGGACCCCACUGCUUCUGUACCACUGCAACAGAAACCUCACAAAGGGAAGCCUGCUCCUCAGGUAACUGAACAAAGACAUCUCUGUCUGAAUAGAAAAAAAAUGAUUCAUUGUAAGGAUCAAAGCAUCAGAACAGGAAGAAACGUAACCAACCAUUCAACUUGCCUGAAGGCAAGGAAAGACUCCUGCCUCGACUCCGAGACUCCGAAGGAAGCUUCUCCUCCUGUCUAGAAGAUUCCCUGGGACACCAACUCCAGAGUCCUCCCAUAGCCACUCCCGUGUUUAAUCUCUCAAAAGGCCAAGGCAAUUUCCCUUAUAUCUAAACAAAAUCUGUCUUAUUUAAACUGAUUCGAGUAUCCUCCUUUGAAGUAAACUUUGCAACAGAAUUGGAGUUGACCUUUCACCCCCCUAGAUGUGUACCAUGAAUUACUGUGCCCCUUGACAUUUUAUGACAAAUGAGCUAAAAGUUGUAGCAGUCAGGAACACAAAGUAAUCAGGUGACAAAACUGAAGAAGAAAAAAACCAAGCAACCACUAAAAAAUCAAAGGAAGGAAAGACUUGUCAUAGCAAAUAAUUCAGUGUGCUAUUUACCUGAAGAA